rnacentral:rRNA from 1 species
GACGAACCGUGCGAACGUUAUUCGGAAUCACUGGGCUUAAAGGGCGCGUAGGCGGAUUUGCAAGUCUGUGGUGAAAUCCUCCAGCUUAACUGGAGAAGUGCCAUGGAUACUGCGAGUCUCGAGGAAGGUAGGGGCAUCUGGAACUGCCGGUGGAGCGGUGAAAUGCGUUGAUAUCGGCAGGAACUCCGGUGGCGAAGGCGGUUCUCUGGGAAUGACCUGACGCUGAGGAGCGAAAGUGUGGGGAGCGAACAGG